rnacentral:rRNA from 2 species
UCUGACGGACACGCCGCGUGAGUGAUGAAGGCUUUCGGGUCGUAAAACUCUGUUGUUAGGGAAGAACAAGUACGAGAGUAACUGCUCGUACCUUGACGGUACCUAACCAGAAAGCCACGGCUAACUACGUGCCAGCAGCCGCGGUAAUACGUAGGUGGCAAGCGUUAUCCGGAAUUAUUGGGCGUAAAGCGCGCGCAGGCGGUUUCUUAAGUCUGAUGUGAAAGCCCACGGCUCAACCGUGGAGGGUCAUUGGAAACUGGGGAACUUGAGUGCAGAAGAGAAAAGCGGAAUUCCACGUGUAGCGGUGAAAUGCGUAGAGAUGUGGAGGAACACCAGUGGCGAAGGCGGCUUUUUGGUCUGUAACUGACGCUGAGGCGCGAAAGCGUGGGGAGCAAACAGGAUUAGAUACCCUGGUAGUCCACGCCGUAAACGAUGAGUGCUAAGUGUUAGAGGGUUUCCGCCCUUUAGUGCUGCAGCUAACGCAUUAAGCAUCCGCCUGGG